GGAGAGGUGGCCGAGUCCGGCUGAAGGCGCUCGACUCGAAAUCGAGUAAGGGGAGACCCUUCGUGGGUUCGAAUCCCACCCUCUCCGCCA
rnacentral:tRNA from 1 species